rnacentral:rRNA from 1 species
UACGUAGGGAGCAAGCGUUGUCCGGAAUCAUUGGGCGUAAAGCGCGCGUAGGCGGCCCGGUAAGUCCGUCGUGAAAGUCAAAGGCUCAACCUUUGAAUGUCGAUGGAUACUGGCGAGCUAGAGUGUGUCAGAGGAUGGUGGAAUUCCCGGUGUAGCGGUGAAAUGCGUAGAGAUCGGGAGGAACAUCAGUGGCGAAGGCGGCCAUCUGGGACAACACUGACGCUGAAGCACGAAAGCGUGGGGAGCAAACAGG